AUUGAACGCUGGCGACAUGCCUUACACAUGCAAGUCGAGCGGCAGCACGGGUGCUUGCACCUGGUGGCGAGUGGCGAACGGGUGAGUAAUACAUCGGAACAUGUCCUGUAGUGGGGGAUAGCCCGGCGAAAGCCGGAUUAAUACCGCAUACGAUCUACGUAUGAAAGCGGGGGCCCUUCGGGCCUCGCGCUAUAGGGUUGGCCGAUGGCUGAUUAGCUAGUUGGUGGGGUAAAGGCCUACCAAGGCGACGAUCAGUAGCUGGUCUGAGAGGACGACCAGCCACACUGGGACUGAGACACGGCCCAGACUCCUACGGGAGGCAGCAGUGGGGAAUUUUGGACAAUGGGCGAAAGCCUGAUCCAGCAAUGCCGCGUGUGUGAAGAAGGCCUUCGGGUUGUAAAGCACUUUUGCCCGGAAAGAAAUCCUUGGCCCUAAUACGGUCGGGGGAUGACGGUACCGGAAGAAUAAGCACCGGCUAACUACGUG
rnacentral:rRNA from 1 species